GGCCCCGUAGCUCAGCUGGAUAGAGCGGCAGAUUCCUAAUCUGUAGGUCACAGGUUCGAAUCCUGUCGGGGUCACCA
rnacentral:tRNA from 2 species